UCUUCUUUCUUUUUUUUUUUCUUCUCCUCCUCUUCUCUUCUCCCGACUUCUUCUCCUCCUCCCUUUCUUGUUCUUUCUUCGCUCGUGAAGGGAGGAGGGCGAGCUCGUCGGAAUGCUAGGGAGGAACGGGCAGCGGCCGGCGGCACCCCCGGCGGGCCAACGGCACCCGCAGUGCCUGCGGCGCCCGUGGCCACAGCCGCUCCUGGGGCCGCGCUCGCAGCCCGUGGCCAUGGCGUGCGGCCGGCGGCCGGCGCCUGCAGAAGCAUGGUCGUGCCUGCGGCCGGCGCCCACGGGGCGCUGGUGGUGAAGUCCGACGAGGAGAGGCGCCGGUGGAGGAUACCGGAGGUAGAACCCAGCAUGAGCGAGGGCGGUGGCAAACAUCAGGCUGCCGGAGUGUCCAGAUCUGGCAACAUCCUGGUCCGAGGGCAAGGAGAAAAUAGGGAGGAGGGGCUUCUCGGAUCGGAUGAGCUAUUGGGGGCUUUUGUAGCCCUCCCCAGGGAAGGAAGAAAAUGGCCGUGGCUCGUUCACCGCCGUGAUGCUCGCGGCGGUUGAGCGGGAUCGAAGGCCAUUCAAGAGGCCACAGCAUUUCCGCUACAUUCUCGCCUCCGUUACCCCGAGGAAGAAGACCAGAGGAUCGCGUUGCGAUCCCUGUCUUGGUCUCUUCUUCAGCCAUGAGCUAAAAUCGGUUGGGUCCGCCGGCUUCGGCCCGAUUGGUCCAUUUUGGGCCGGUUAUUACAAUACAAAUCCUUGUUCGUGCAGAUGCCAAGGAUAAGAGCAUCUAGAGAAUGUAGGGUGUGAAGAGGGAUGAUGAUCUCCAAUCCAUUAAUCUAAAGGAAUCCUAGCCGACAACGUACGGAUGUCUUCGAGCU